AGUUAGGUCUUUAUCAAUAGUAUUUUCUGGCCAACUCCGCCAGGCCCGGAAGGGAGCAACGGUAACCAGGGUACUAUGUGAUAAUUGACCUAGCUGCC
rnacentral:SRP_RNA from 1 species